rnacentral:rRNA from 1 species
AUUGAACGCUGGCGGAAUGCUUUACACAUGCAAGUCGAACGGCAGCACGGACUUCGGUCUGGUGGCGAGUGGCGAACGGGUGAGUAAUGUAUCGGAACGUGCCCAGUCGUGGGGGAUAACGUAGUGAAAAUUACGCUAAUACUGCAUACGAUCUAUGGAUGAAAGCGGGGGAUCGCAAGACCUCGCGCGAUUGGAGCGGCGGAUAUCAGAUUAGGUAGUUGGUGGGGUAAAGGCCCACCAAGCCAACGAUCUGUAGCUGGUCUGAGAGGACGACCAGCCACACUGGAACUGAGACACGGUCCAGACUCCUACGGGAGGCAGCGGUGGGGAAUUUUGGACAAUGGGCGAAAGCCUGAUCCAGCCAUUCCGCGUGCAGGAUGAAGGCCCUCGGGUUGUAAACUGCUUUUGUACAGAACGAAAAGGUUUCUACUAAUACUAGGAGCUCAUGACGGUACUGUAAGAAUAAGCACCGGCUAACUACGUGCCAGCAGCCGCCGCAG